CCUACGGGAGGCAGCAGUAGGGAAUAUUGGGCAAUGGAGGCAACUCUGACCCAGCAAUGCCGCGUGAGUGAUGAAGGUAAUUUUAUUGUAAAGCUCUUUUCUUUGGAACGAAUAAAUGACGGUACCAAAGGAAUAAGCCCCGGCUAACUAUGUGCCAGCAGGCGCGGUAAUACGUAGGUGGCAAGCGGUGUUCGGAAGGACUGGGCGUAAAGGGUGUGGAGGUGGUUUGAUAAGUGAGAGGUGUAAUACCCAGGGCUUAACUCGGGUCCUGCAUGUAAAUCUGUUAGACCUGAGUACUGGAGAGGAUAGUGGAAUUCCGAGUGUCGCUGUGGAAUGCGUAGAUAUUAGGAGGAACAUGAGUGGAGAAGGCGACUAUCUCGUCAGCAACUGACACUGAGGCACGAAAGCGUGGGGAGCAAACAGGAUGAGAUACCUUGUGUC
rnacentral:rRNA from 1 species